GCCUCUGGAAGCGAGUUGGGCUGAUG
rnacentral:piRNA from 1 species